rnacentral:sRNA from 1 species
AACAACAACAACAACGACAAAUGAUUCAUCUAGAAAGCUUAGUGAGUUCUCUAAGGAACCUGACUCAUGAUGAGAGACAACUUGUCUGCCACUUAGUAGCUCCUUAGAAUUUUAGAGUUCUACAACAAAUAGAUGGGAAGGCUUUUGGCGGGUUUAGCCUGCCCCAAGGUUAACAUGGGGUUCAGCUACCUGGGGCUGCAGUAGAGUCAACUGGUGGUUAUUUGUACAUUCUCCUGACCAAAUAUUUGUACUUGUUUUCGCCCCAUUAACUAAAGGAAGACAGUCUUGACACUUCAGUGAGAGUCCCUAAGCAUCUACCAUCCCUUUUCAGAUCUCAGCAGGCUUCCAUAUCUCUUAAAACCAAGACACGGAUGCAGACAAAGCUACAGCCUGCUAGUUUUAUUUCUUAUUCCAGAGGAGACAAAGGCUUGACAAACACUGUAGGAACGACAUAACACCCUUCCCAAUACAUAUCCCUCCAGGUCCUCAAACUUUUGUCAGGGACUAGAAUCAAGGCAACUCCAGUUUCCUGCGUCAAAUGAAUUAAUCUGUGUUCCCCCUUUCUGGCUUACAGGAUAGAUACGCCACUUAGUUAAGAGCAUAGGUCCAAGGGCUGGAGAGGUGGCUCAGUAGUUAGGUGCACUUGCUGCUCUUGACCUGAGAGGACUGCUUGAUUCCCAGCACCCAUAGCAAGAAGCUCAUAAUGGUAAAUCCAAUUUCAGGGGAUUCUGAGACAUCUCCUGGCCUCAGAGGGUACCAAGUAUGCAUAUGAUACACAUACUUACAUGUGGAUACUUGCGCAUAAACAUACAAUAAUAAGUACAUUUAAGAGUAGGAAGAGAAAAUAGGCUUAGAGGUUGCUGAUACUAUAAGCACGACUUACUACUUAUAUGGCUGAGGAAAAUUCCACAAGCUUUCUAAGCUUAGCCUCCUCCUUUCCCUGAUCCAAUGGUUAGACCUUUGUUGUGCAGUUAUAACAAAAAUCUCAAUAAGCCAUGUGGAGCCAUCAUCUCCAAGCACUGCCCAUGUCAUUGUCAUGGUAUGUCCUUGCCUUACAUUUCUGUUCUCUGUCCCAGAGACUCUGUUCUCCACAUACAUCUUCCUCACGUAGAAAUGUUUAGAAAAGCAGUGGUCACAGAUAGUUUUGCAGUUGGCAUUCUGCAGUUGGAGAUGAUGGUGUAUCUGGAAAUAUUUUUUCACCAGCACUUGGGAUGGUUGGGAAGUUUAGCAGUGGCCUUGGGCUCUGAGAACCUUCCUAGGGCUUUGAUGGAGGGCUGUCAGGGCGAUGGGAUGCAGAAUGAAGAACCCUGGCAGCAUCUGAUUCAGACAGUGCUGACUCAUCCACAAAGAAGUUUAUAGCAGGCAGCUGGCGAAGCUAAGCAUCUUGGGAGCAGAACCUUUGGGAGUUCCUUGGAGGCUGAUUGGUAGGUCUAUAAUUCAAACAUGUAAUUCAUGUGUCGCGGAAAUGGGUGGCAAUUGGCAAGAGAGAGCUGUUUGGGAGAAUGCAUCCAAUUUGAACUCAGAUACUGACAGCUUUCAUUGCCUGAACUCUUACAUAAUCUCCCUUCAAGCAUUUUCUUUUUGAAUAUCUGUUUUGCUCUACCAAAGCAUCUUCAUAGUUAGGCCAUCCUCCUUUGGAGCCACUCACCUCUCCUCUUCCUUUCCUUUUCUUGUAAGUGGCCCUAGGAUCUCACUGUAAAUCUCUCCUGGAUCCUGUGAUCAUACCCUUGAUGCCUACAAUAGUCCCUGACGAACAUCUUGAUCGUGUUUGAAAAGAGAUGUCAAACAAAUCUCCUUACAGGCAUGCAUGAUAUGCUUAAGGUGAAGAAGCCUCAGGGAGUUAUCUUCUCUGCUGGCCUGGUGGAGGUAAGGCUAGUCACAUACCCACCCCAACAAACCAAUACCCUUCCACUAAUGCCUUCUACAUGGGGUAUCUAUAAGAGAUGUAUGAGAAGGAUCAUAAAGCUUGACUAGAAGCAAAGUAGUUCUUUCCCCAUCUCCACUACAAUGCCAUCUCAUGAGAUAGUGAUAAAACGCUAUCUCAGAGUGAAAAAAAUCCAGAUCUGAAACAAAGAGAAACAACUCAGAAGGUGAGAAUUAAUCCCUUCAUUUGAAUGAGAAGGAAAGGUACCUACUCCUCAUAGAAGGAUGCCACGUUAAAAGAAAGAAGCAAUAUUUUACAUAGCUGGAGAGAACAUUCUGAAACCUCAUGUGGGUUUGAUAAAAAAUUCAUAUUCGGUGUAUUUUACAGAGACACUAAGCAUAUUUGUUGUAGCUUUUGUUUUUAUCUUUAAGUGUGUGUGUGUGUGUGUGUGUGUGUGUGUGUGUGUGUGUGUGUGCCUGCUUGUCUGUAUGUGCACCAGGUAUGUACAAGUGUUCUCAGAGUCCAGAAGAGGGUGAAACAACUCAGAAGAUGAGAAUUAAUCCCUUCGUCGAGGUCACCAUUUUCAUAAUUUUGUAACUUAGGAACAUGUCUAACAGAUGUAAACUUGGAAAUCAAAAUUAUUCACCCAUCCGACUCCCAAGCUUGUGACCUGGCUUUCCCUUAUGGCCUUGUCUUUUGCUGUGUAUUUAUUAAUUUUCCUCCAGUCAUCAUGUUCAGUUAAAUACUUCAAAGGCAUUUCUGCUCCAGGGCCUUUGCACGUGCUUUUCUUUCUAUGUGGAAUAUUCUCCCCAAAAGAAUCCAUACGGCCAGCUCUCUCAUACUCCAUCAUUCAUCUAUAACUUCUGUCAGUAAGUCAUGUUUUCAGACCAGAGUCUAAUGUUAGCCCCCGCCCCUAUAGUUUUUUAAAUUUUAUUCCUUCAGAAUACCUUUUUCCCCAGAAAUAUCUUACCAACAUUCCAAACUGUAUAUCUAACUUUUACAAUCUAAUUAUUUAUCUUGUUUCUGGUCAUCUCUGAUCAGAUAGUAAACCACAAACGGGUAAGGGCCCUUGGUGGUUCUAGUUAACCCUAGACCUUCACACUUGAAAGAGUGGCUAAUAUAUCACAAAUGCUCAAAAAGGUGAGUAUAUUGAAUAUUGAGAUGGAAGAAAAAUGUAAACCAGAAAAAUCACCUACCUAGUGGCAUUACAAAAGACACUCAAAGAACACCAAAGAACAUAAAAAGCCCAAAUCCAGAACACUGCCAAGUGACAGAGUGCUGAAUUCUAGACCUCUGAAUCUUGUUCUUAAAGUGCUUAAUAAAGUAAAAUAUGUGCUAUUCUCUUCUGGGGACCGGGAGAGGAAAAUUGCGAAUGCUGCAGAAGUAUGAGGUGAAGCCAAUGAUAAAUCAACUGGGAUAUUGCUUAUCAUGCUUUACUCUCAGCAGUAAUAAGACACAGCACAAGCCUUGAUGCAAGCAUCAUUAUGGGCGUUCAUCAAACCAAGACUUCUCCGCAGGCACUUUGGGUCUGCCUCCCGGUCCGUGAACACGUGCUCCAGACGUAGGUGCUAAAUGUUUCUUAGCAACUUACACAGGAAGUCUGUCUGCGGAACUGCACGUUGGAUGGAGGAUAUUGUACUCUCUCCAUCCUCAGUUCCAGAGCCUGAAUCCGCAUGAGAGGAGAAGGAUGGCUGGCCAGGUGAAUAUCCAGCAAGGCUCCAUAUAUGAGCCUGGCAUAUGGAAGUCAGGCCGCCAGGGUCAUUUCAUCAUACCAGUAUCUCCGUGUUCUUUGUUUAAUUCAAGAAACUCCAUGCAACGCAAGGCCUGUUCAGCUUCCCUGAACCUUCCUAACCUCCCUGUUAACAACUCUCUCACUUAGCUAAGUGUAUGUGUCUCUUUCCCUCCCUGUGGCCUUCUUUGAUGUCUACAUCACAGUACAGAAGUGGGGUAGCCUUUCCCCACACAUGGGACAAUUUGGGGGAACAAAAUAAGAAAGGUCAAGCCUCCUGGAUGAGGAACUGGUCUCUGCUCUUACAGAAUGCCCUGCAAGCUCACAGUUCCUUGAAAACAGUGUCUGGUCACUGACACAUGUAUCCAAUGAAAUGCUGACACCAGGCAUGCUCUUAGAUGGUUUUAGGGAGCUAGCACAAUGGAUAGAUGUUAAUGUCACUCAGGAUCCCUCACAGCUUGGUGUGAGAAUAGUAUCUUUGUCCUUCUUGGUCAAGAACCCAGAUGGACAUUUAACAUGUGGAUUUGCACACUUCUCCAUCCCCCAAAGCGGGCUUCUCUAAACAUGACAAAUAUGUAGAAUGCUGUAAUUGGAAAGUACCAUUUCAACCAUUCAACCAUUUCCGUUGAUGUAUCUUGAUGGUUUUUAUCACGAUCCUUUUGCUAUGGUAAAGGUUUUCUUUUGUUGUUUCUCAUCGUAUGUGUGUGGGGUGGUAGAUGGUUUGUGAAGCAUGGUCUGCUAGACCAAACCAUUUGACACACAGGGUCUUAUAAGGGAGACAAUGAAGGGGUUGUCCAUGGAGUGCUCUUCUGGGCAAAGUUACACCUAGAGCUCAAGGGUCAUGAGGACCUUGUUUGUGCCAAGAAGUGAUCCAAAGUUCUCUGGCCCUGAGUCCAAGGUUUAUUCUCCUAAUCCACUCUGUCUCUUUAUAGUCAUGUCUAGGAAGGUACAACCUGCAGAAUGUGUGAGUGUACACAACACAAAGAUGUGAUAAUAGGAUGUCAUGCUGCUGUGAAGGCCAUGCAUUGAUGUCAAGGAGUAUUGGUGUCACCUCGUCUGGAUGCUUUUCUCUCAGGCCACUUUUCAGAGACAGAAUCAAUCUCCCUACCUCUGUUCUCCUGUACCAUGUAAUUCAAAGUGCUAGGAAAUCACUUAUAAGAUUGUCGUACAGGUGAGUGCAAAGGGUGGCCUGACUGCCACUACAAUAUGACAACUCUGAGGUUAAGCCACACUCCCCCUGAGGCCUACUCUGUGCUCUGGGCAGAGAAAAAGCACUCUGACUGUCAGAAAGUGUUCAGGGACCCUGUUACAGGUGUCAAGCACCAUCCAAGAUUUCCCCAGACCCUGGGAGCUCCAUGGGAAAUGAUCUAACCCUUUACUUUAUUUUGGGUGCAGAGCUUUGUGGACGUAUCUGAGAGACGAAAGACAGAAGUCCUCAUAGAAAGAGGAGAGAAUGGAAACUUACAGAAAGAAGUGUCCACAGGUACUUUUCAUCUUCUCAAAUUGAGCUGCUGUCGACCUGUGUCCUUCUCUCCAGCUUCUGGCAACUGCCAUCCUGUUUUCCACCUCUAGGAAUUUGUCUUCUCUGGGUUCCGCAUCUAAGUGGAGUCAGCUGUCAGUAACAUAGAAGUACAUAAAAGUGACACCUGGGAGCUGGAGGGCCCUGAUCCAGAGGGGUGUUCAGCCCUGAAGUUUGGUGGCCAACACCGGCCCUACUUCUGCAAGAAAACUGCACAGCCAGCUGCUUCUAGAGAACCCAAGAGACGACAGAAGGCAUGCUGUGCCCCCAAGGAUAUACCUCUUGGUUCCUGUCCUCAUCAGCAUGUUGGAGAACAAGACCUGGUGGAGGCGGGGCGGGGGAGCAGGAUCUUCCUUUUCUAUAAUUUCCUUCCCCCUUGUCUUGCACUGGCAGAUAGGGCCGGUGGGGAUACAGCAGCUGUGCGCUCUGCUACGAAGGUCUCAGCGCUUUUCGUUGCCAGAAUCCCAGGCCCAUACCACCUGGUUUGGGGCUUUGGGGAGCAUGUGAAGCAGGGACAAUCUAGACCCUGAACUAAGUAGUCCCGAUGCCCUCUAGCGCCCCUCUUUCCCUCCUUACUUUUCUCUAAGCAGCAGCCAGACAGCUAGGAGUGUGUUGGUCAGUGCAGAGUUCCACAGUGAUGCCAUUCGCUGAUCCUGGCUGGUUACCACCCUCAACUCUUGUCAUCUGAUCGUCUGAAAAUAGGUAGUUGGUUAACUCAUCCUGGGCCUGACCAUCCCUACCAAAUUCACCACAUCUAUUUGGUCUAAGAACCACCUCCGAAUCACACUUCUUCUGCCUUUAGCCCCAUCCCCCCUCACCCCCAGCUGAUUGAUUCUCUUGUGGUCAAAUCAAAGCAAUAUCAGAGCAUAUCAUGUCUGUGCAGACACUCAGCAGCUUGGCUUUUCCCUUAGAAUAGAAUCCGGCUUCCUCACCGUAGUCAGCUGGGCCCUUCCUCAUCCAUUCUUUCCUCUCACUUCCUCUUACCCCGCCAUUCCACUUCCAAGUGUUCCUUGUUGAACAUUCUUGUUCCCACAUCUGCUGGCAAUGGCCCUUCCCGCGAAUGAAUCUCAAAUGGGACCACUCAGGUCUCUGCUCAAAUAUGUUGAUGUUCCUCUUCAGGCAUCCAGAACACACACACUCUCUCUCUCUCUCUCUCUCUCUCUCUCU